UACGUAGGGUGCAAGCGUUAAUCGGAAUACUGGGCGUAAAGCGUGCGCAGGCGGUUAUGUAAGACAGAUGUGAAAUGCCCGGGCUUAACCUGGGAACUGCAUUUGUGACUGCAUGGCUAGAAUCUGGCAGAGGGGGGUAGAAUUCCACGUGUAGCAGUGAAAUGCGUAGAUAUGUGGAGGAACACCGAUGGCGAAGGCAGCCCCCUGGGUCAAGAUUGACGCUCGAUGCACGAAAGCGUGGGGAGCAAACAGG
rnacentral:rRNA from 1 species